GCUUAAGUUAAUCUAUGGCGCCUUUUCCUUGCAGCCUACGAAGAGUCUCACCACCGCGUCACCUUGCUACCACUUUCUCUCAUCUUCCUUGGAAUGUGGAGUUUGAAAAAACAUCACUCUGGUUUUGACUGUGCACCCUUACACAUUUUUCUUCUGAGAGAUGAACACUUUUUAUUUCAUCCAACUACAAGCAUAUCAAAGUCUAUGUUACUUCUCUAACGUCGAAAGGCUUAGGGGGUGAGCAUUUGGCCUAGCAGCUGAGCCUCCUGUUGAAAGUCCACGUUCUAUCAGAGUGCCUGGGUUCCACACCCAGCUCGGCUGCUGAUCUCAGAUUCUGCUAACGCCAGUGCUGGGAAGGAGCAAUGAUCACUCAAGUGACUGGGCGGCUGCCACUCGCGUGGGAGACCUGGACUGAGCUCUUGGUUCCUGGCUACGGCCCUGACCAGGGGCUACGGGGGCAUUUGAAGAGUGAAACAGUGAAUGCAAGUGCUUGCGCUCCCUCUUGAAUAAAUAAACAAAUGCACAAAUAAAUAAAAGAUAGACAGAGACCUAGUAGCAGGUACCAGCCCAGCCACACAGCGCCCAUCCGACGGAUGCGCAAGGCUUCUCACGGACCCUGAAGGGUGGUUCUUCAUGCACUCACCAGCUUUGAGAAAGACUUUCCGUCCAGCUAAUCUCACAUUUCCCUUUAGCUGUUCCAUCCUCUCUACUCGUGUGCAGAUGCAAUGGAUAGUCUAUGCCCGACACGUCCAGCUGGCUUGGCUGCAGGCCGCGUGACGGCAGAGGCCCUGUUUUCGGGGCGAAAGGACUCUCCGGGAGAAGCUGCACUUACCCUUUGUUUCUCAGCUCUGAUCCUGACCCCUGCCUGCUUCCUUCCUGGCCUCUCGCCACCUCCGAGGUGACCUCACUAUCCACGUCCUUCCCCCAGCCCCGCAGUGACCUUUCUCUCUAAAACAUGGCUUACAGAGAAGCCCUGCACGACAAAGGCACACCCAGGCCUCCGCAUCCUAAUAAGGUUACAAUGACUUCAGUAUCCACAGGUUUCAGAAAGGGCAGAGCCUCAGGAUCGUUCUCACUUCCAUUGUCCAGUGCUGUCCGGAGCACCCAGCGAGGCCUCCUUUGCCAAGUUUGUUCGUGAUCUUCUCUGUGUGCGCCCUGCACCACCUGAGCUCUACAGAAGAACUACAGAGUCCUUGAAUUCUGUGACAAGAGCCUCUUCGGGCACCUCUACUCUUCCUCUCCCCGGAGGGAAUCUGGCACUCGUCCCUGAAGAAGACUGUCCAGAAAUACAGCUCCUCUUACUGGGCGGGGUGUACCAAAGACAGCUGGGAACUGACCACAGACUCAGUGUGGACACACGCGGAAACAUGAGGACAUGAAAUAGCAGAUAAGGACAGAGACAACGGAAGAGGAGAGGCGAGGAGAGGAUGCAAGUCUUCAAGACCACGCAGAAAACACCAUUCAUCUGCUGGUUCCAUCCCAGGCUCUGAAAGAAUUGCCUGUGCCUACAGUUUCUCACAGUGUCAUCAACAAACAGGAUGCUGAGAUGACGGUGAAGUCUACAAAGAGCGGCAGGCGCGGGCAGCAACCACAGGAGUCCUCCUCCAAGAGACCUGCAUGCCCCAGGAGGGUGGGAAGCAUCACUACUACCACAGUGGGACCAGCAGGACCCGACACACCACCUGGCAGGUCACGUCAUCCCCAAGGCAUUUUUCCUCAUCUACCAAGACCACUGAGUUUUGAUGCAUUUGGAGAAGAGAGUAAGGUGAAAAGUGAGAGGAUAAGAGACUCUCCCAGCUGGUGACACUGAACCACACACGUAAGCUCUUAGCGUCUCAGCUUCGCCCACAGCAUGGCUGCAAGGACAAAAUAAAAGGACGUCAGGUGAGCAAGGAACAGUCCAUGAGCAGCAGCUGGCAUCAGGACUGCCCUGUGUUCUUCCCUCUAGAAUCUUCAAUGUAGAACUCAUAUUCGUGCUUCUCUACAUGCGUUCCGUGAAGUAGCUGCCCCAGCUCGCCUGGAACCGUCUGAGAAACGCAGACUCUUGGGCCCUAUGGUGUGGGAAUCCUCCCCAGGAGGCUCAGGUGCUCAGUGAAGUUGGAGACGUGCUGGCUGAUACUGCGCUGGAGCCCACCUUCCCCCAGUCCCGAGCACCAUGCAUGCAUGCAUCACUCAUGUUCGCAUUUCUUGGACAAUCAUCCUCGGGGCUGUGCGUGCUUCCUGGGAAGUGGCAGCUCUGGCUGAGUCUUCCCUGAAAAUCCUCAGUAACUCUGUCAUCUAGCUGCAGCUCCUCCACCACCUGGCUGCAGUAUGCAGGUCUGCAGUGGAAUGGGGAGGUUCAGGAUCAAUUCUGAGAACAGCCCUGGGUCCAAAUGCAGUGAACAGGCUCUGGGGUGUGAGUCCCCUAAUCUACUGGAUGUAUGCCGUGUCUGCCCCAGGACCUUUGUAUAUGCAGCUCCUGCUAAAAAUUCUUUGUCUACAAUUGCUGUCAUGCAAAUUUGACCCAAAUGAUAACCCUCUCCCUGUCUUGCUCGGUCACUUUUUCUCAUUACCCUAUUUCUUCUUCCUCUUUCUCCUCUUCCUCUUCUUAUCAGCGCUGUAUUAUCUCAUUCACGGGUAUGUUUGUUUUUAUUAUUGUUAGUUUUAAUUAUUUUAAAUUCAGGGGGAGUGGGGUAUCUUCCAUUCACUGAUCCACUCCCUAAAAGCUUGUGACAGCCAGGGCUCAGCUAAGCCAAAGCCAGGAAGGAAGAACCCAUCUAUGGACUCACACAAUCCAUGUCUCUGAUGUAAGUGACAAGGUCCCCCGUACUUGAGCCAUAUCCACUGCCUCCCAGGUGUGCAACAGCAGGAAGACAGGGUUGGAAGCAGAGCCAGAACCUGUCCCAGGCACUCUGAUACGGGACGUGGCCUUCUAAAGGUGCCUUAACCACCGCACCACAAACCCGCCCCUUUCACUGAUGUGUUUCUGAUCUGUAUCCCUCCAUCCAUCAAACAGAACAGAGCCGUCUGAGGGCUAGGGCUCCGCUCUCUCACUGCUGUGUUCACAGCGCCUGGAGAGGCAGGUAGUCCACAGUAGGUAUUCCAAAAAUAAUCAUUAACCAAUGGCAUCAAGCCUCCCUUGUUCAAAAUGAAGGUAAAACAGUGCCUUAUGCUUAAGGUAGAAGGAGACAACCACGUAAAACUCUUUGAUCUAGAAUUUCUACCCGGUGAGGGCUGGAGAAGCAGAGGUGGGCACUUACAGCAGCCAUGCUGGUAAAAUUAAAUACACCUAACAAGACAGACAAAAUAUCCAAAUCCAUGUUCAUCUCAAACUGGUGUUUGGUUUCCUCACGAGCUGGUGUGGGGACCUAACCUAAAACACACAGGAACUCCAGAGUGCAAUGCUGAAGAACCAGUUGGUGGAGAGCAGAACACGUGCCAGCUGCCUGUCUUUGGCUGGGGCGCCGCACCCGUGUGGGCCUCACUGUCCUUACCGUGAGGUGCUGGGUCACAUCAUCCAUCUCCUGGAGUUACGGCGAAGGUGAAGAGGGAAAAUGCAGCUGGCCUGACUUACAGGAGUCCAACAAACGCUGCCUUCUCUAAUUUGACCUCCUCUACGGCCCCCGUGAGGGAGCCAUGCUUGGAAGUGUUUGCCUCAUUGAUAGGCAAGGGAAUGAUGCACACAGAGGUAUGAGAGUUUGUCUAACUUCUAACUCUUAUUCUAGGAAACUAAGUAUAAAAAUCCACACUUUGUUUUCUUCUUUUAAUCUCUAUUUCUUGCAAGGGGAAGAUUCCUAUUUGCCAAUUCCAGACCAACCUCACAAGAAACGGCAGCAAGACUCCAAUCAGUUCCAACCUUCAGGGCUGAAAGCAUCAGUCUACUGCAGUGGGGUCAGUCAGCGGCAGCGGGGACCUUCAAGACCUACACACAAAGCACGGAGAAAGACUGUGGGGAGGGACGGUCACACGGUGGUCCUCCAGUUCACGCGUGACGAUUCUCACCCAGGUUGCUAUAGGUCUUUGGUUUUCCAACUACGACAAGUGAUGAUGAUGAUGAUGAUGAUGAUGAUGCAGCAGCAGUAGUAGUAGUUUGUUGUUUGAGUGCUCACCAUACGCCAGGCACUCUAUGCAGCCAUCGGAAUGCCUUUUCUCAUUGAACUCUCGAGUAACCCUAGACUCUAAGUAUCACUUCUAACUCCUUUCCAGCGAUGAGAAAGCAGAGUCUCCAAGAAGGCGAGCCACUUCCACAGUUCGUUGCUGGCCAGUCUUAAACACGAAGCCCAAUAUGUUUCUCAUUCAGCUUGAAAUGCUGACCUCGGAUCCUGCAUGGUGGAAACUCUGAAGAAUCUCUAGGGUGCCUCAGGCUCUGAGGACCCAGUUAGGAAAGCACCGGACUCAGUCCUUCCAAAUCCAAGAACCUACAAUUUUAGGGAGGGGGGUAGCUGACUCCCAGAAUAUGCUCUGGUGCCCACUGUACAUCUGAAGGAGGAGAGAGAACUCCAGGGAAGAGACAGGAACACAACCCUCUUGGCGUUUCUUCUCUAAGGUCUCCCUGGCCCAGAGAUGAUCAGGGGCCUCCCAGGGUUCUUUUAAUGAUAACUCCUAGGUUUAAAUCUCAACCCCCCACUGUCCUAACCUAACUGCAGUGUGACUGGGCAAGUGCAUUGACAUCUCUUAGCCUCAGCUUCCUCAUCUGAGAAAUGAAGUUAGUAACAAUACCAACCACAGGAUUAUUACUGAAUUAAAUGAGGUCAUUAUUUGAAUUGUUAGCCCAUUGCCUGGAUUAUGGGAAUCACUCUAAAAAUUCUAUCAAGUGAGAGAUUGACUCUAUAGUCUAUGAUUAAAGACAGAAGACAGCUAGCUGUCUCUGGACUUUUCUUUAGCAUGUACAGUGGGUUAUUAGAGCUGCACUUUUAAAAAUUGCUUAGCAGUGGCUGGUGCUGUGGCACAGCAAGUUAAAGCCCCAGUCUGCAGUGCCGGCAUCCCAUAUGGGUGCCGGUUUAGGCCUGGAUGCUCUUCUUCUGAUCCAGCUCUCUGCUGUGGCCUGAGAAAGCAGUGGAAGAUGGCCCAAGGCCUUGGGCCCCUGCACCCACGUGGGAGACCUGGAAGAAGCUCCUGGCUCCUGGAUUCAGAGUAGCUCAGCUCUGGCUGUUGCAGUCAUCUGGGGAGUGAACCAGCAGAUGGAAGACCUCUCUCUCUCUCUCUCUCUCUCUCUCUCACUCUCUCUGGCUCUACCUUUCUCUGUAACUCUGUUUUUCAAAUAAACAAAAAAAAAAUUGCUUAGCAGGAGUUUCACUGCUUCUUGUGGCAUCUGCUACUUGGAUGAGAACAACUGAUGCCCCGAUGUCACCGGGCCAUAGAGGUAAGAGCCGCAACGGCUGGAACUGGGCCAAUCUGAAGCCAGGAGCUUCUUCUAGGCCUCUCAUGUGGGUACAGGAGCCAAGUACUUGGGCCAUUUUCUUCUGCUUUCCCAGGCCAUACCAGAGAGCUGGAUCAGAAGAGGAACAGCCGGGACUAGAACUGGCGCUCAUAUGGGCGAUGCCUCUGUAGGCAGAGACUUAGCCUACUACUCCGCAGCACCAGCCCCUCUCCCUGUCUUUCAAAUAAAAUAGCUUUCCCAAUUUUUAAAAAUGGCUUAGCAGCAUAACACUAUAUUUUUCCAAGUUAAAAUUUAAACAGAGGUGAAUAAAAACCGGACAGGAUGGAGAGCUGCUGUGUUGGAAGUGGCAGGCCCUCCGUCAGUCAUCUUCUCACAGCCACAGAGCCCUUUGGUUCUGGCCCAGUCAGUUUAGAAACUGCUAAGCAAAACAACCACAUACGUCCUGUCCUCAAGGCCAGAGCCCCUGCCCCCUUCUUCAUCUGCUCCCUGAUGGCGUGCACUGAAGGCUAUUACGUCUCCAAAAUCAUGUUGUUAUUGUCUUUAUUUUCUUCACCUUUUUUUUUCUGGAGCUAUCAAAUAGAGUUUUAUGAA